UUAAUCAAAAUUACUCAAAUAACCCUACAUAUUGUCCUAAAUAAGAGUCAAUUAGGGUUACAAUUGUACUAAGCAGAUGUUAAAUAUGUUCUUACAAAUAAACGAACACCGAUCAUGAAAUUGUUUCGUGAGAUAGAUGGCGAGAAAGAAGGCACGGUGUGGGGCUCCUUUCGCCGCCUGCCGCCUCAUAAGAUCGUCCGAUCUUUUAAUUCUGUUUGAAACAUAGCCUCUCUCACGGCGUUUCUCACAUUCUCUCUUGUAAAGAAAUUGUCAUGGGAUCUCCAUAGCAGAGUAGUACCGAUCGGCUAUUUUUCAUAAAUUGUUUAAAAGAGAUGGAGAGAGAAUACACCGUUGAAGGUUACCGUCCCGCCGGAUUUUCUGAUUCUGAUUGCAACGUUGUAGCCUUUCAGGUUAUUUCUCUCUAAUUCUCUGUUUAAUGAAAUUAUUUACUUCAUGCGACCGUCAAAUAUUUGAUCUCAUUCUAAUAUCAUUAUUUACUUGAUGCGACCUUAAAACUUUGUCUCAAUUUUUUCCCCGUAAUUAUGCAGACAUUUUAAUGGAUUCGUUGGAAACUUUAUGAAACUUUUGUCCCCUUGCAACAAGGUGUAUGUUUGCCUAUUUUGAUGAAGAAAAAGUUGGUUUUAAUCUUACAAUUGUUAUCUAAUUUUAUAAGAUUUUAUUAAGAGAUCGUGAUGUCUCCUGAUAUACUUGAAUAUUGCUGCUAGUGUCUUUUAAAUAUGUACCUCAAAGUUGAAAUUCAAACUCGUGCCCUAAUUUGGUUGAUGUAACUGUAACCCUUAUAUUUUCUCAAUAUUAUGUCAUGUAAUCAUGAGAUGUUUUAAUAGUUGUGGGAAAACUUUAUGAGAUAUUGAAUUUUUAUAGAAAUUCUGUCCCGUUUGCAACCUGGUUUAUGUUGCCUAUUCUGAUUAAACAAGUGUUGGAUUUGAUCUUUAAAUAUUUUAUUAAAAUUAUAAAGCUUAAUUAGGAGAUUAUGAUGUGACCCGGUAUGCUCGGAGUUUGUUGGCAUUAUCACCAAAUUUUUUGUUUCAAAGUUGGAACUUCAAAUUCUUGUUCCCAAUAUAAUGUCAUUAUUUACUUGAUGCGACAUUACUCUUUGUCCCGUAAUCAUGCAACAUUUAAAUGUUUUGCAACAAGGUGUGUGUUGCCUAUUCUGAUGAAGAAAAAGUUGGUUUUGAUAUUAGAAUUGUUAUCUAAUUCUAUAAGACUUUAUCAAGAGACCGUGAUGUCUCCCCGUGAACUCGGACUGUGCUGCUAGUGUCAUUAAAAUUUGUAUCUCAUAGUUGAAAUUUCAAACUCGUGGACUCAUUUCAAGGUAAUUAUUUACUUGAUGUAACCUUAUUUUGUCUUAACAUUGUCCCGUAAUCAUUAUACAUUUUUAUAGUUUUUGGGAAAACAUUUUGAGUUACUGUUUGCAACAAAGUUAAUGUUGCCUAUUCUAAUUAAGAAAGAGUUGGACUUGAUCUUAAAUCUUCUAUCGAAACUUAUAAAGCCUUAUUAAGAAAUUUUAAUGUGACCUGGUAGGCUUUGAAAUUGUUGGCAUUAUCGCUGAAUUUUUUAUUUAACUUCUAUCCAGUUUGCGACAAGGUUUAUGUUGCCUAUUCUGAUGAAAGAAUUGGAUUUGAACUUAAGUAUUUUAUUAAAAUAUAUAAAGUAUCAUUAAGAGAUUAUGAUGUGACCCGGUAUGCUCGAAAAUUGCCGGUAUUAGCGCUGAAAUUAUUAUUUAAAAGUUGGAAUUUCAAAUCUUGAUCCCAUUUUAAUGUCACUCUUUACUUAAUGCGACCUUAAAUUGUGUCUCAAUUUUUUUGUCUCAUAAUCUUGCUGACAUCUUAGUGUUUUUGCUGGAAACUUUAUGAGUAAUUAAAUUUUAUUGAACUUCUAUACCGUCGACAACAAUGUGUAUGUUGGCUAUUCUGAUAAAGAAAAAGUUGGUUAAAUUUUGAUCUUAAAAUAGUUAUAUUAUUUUAUAUAGCUUCAUUAAGAGAUCGUGAUGUCACCUGGUAUACUCGGAUAUUGCUGCUAGUGUCAUUAAAAUUUGUAUCUCAGCUGAAAUUUCAAAUCCGUGACCUCAUUAUAAUGUGAUAAUUUACUUGAUGAAAUUUUAUUUUUUUUCUCAAUUUUUGGUCCCGUAAUCAUGAGAAAACGUAAUAGUUUUUUAUUAAACUUUUCAAGUGAUUAGUUUUUUAUGAAACUUUUGUUCUGUUUGCAACAAGGUUUUGGUUGCCUGUUCUGAUGGAAAAAUAGUUGGAUUUGGUCUUAAAUCUUUCAUUAAAAUUUAUAAAACUUCAUUAAGAGAUAAUGAUGCGACCUGGUAUGCUCUGAAUUUGUUGGCAUUAUCACUGAACUUUUAUUUUAAAGUUGGAACCUCAAAUUCUUGAUCUCAUUAUAAUGUCAUUGUUUACUUGAUGAGGCAUUAUUUUUUGUCCAUUAAUCAUGCGACAAUUUAAUGGUUUCGGUGGAAACAUUGCAAAAGUUUAAAUUUUAUGGAACUUCUGUACCGUUCGCAAAAGGUUAAAUUUUAUGGACUUCUGUACCGUUGAUGAAAAAUAAGUUGGUUUUGAUCUUAAAAUUAUUAUCUAAUUUUAUAAGGCUUUAUUAAGAGAUCUUGAUAUCUCUUGGUAUACUCGGAUUUUCAUGCUAGUACAUUACAAUUUGUAUCUCAGAGUUGAAAUUUCAAACUCGUGGACUCAUUUCAAGGUAAUUAUUUACUUGAUGUAACCUUUUUUUGUCUUAACAUUGUCCCGUAAUCAUUAUACAUUUUUAUAGUUUUUGGGAAAACAUUUUGAGUUACUGUUUGCAACAAGGUUUAUGUUGCCUAUUCUAAUUAAGAAAGAGUUGGACUUGAUCUUAAAUCUUCUAUCGAAACUUAUAAAGCUUUAUUAAGAAAUUUUAAUGUGACCUGGUAGGCUUUGAAAUUGUUGGCAUUAUCGCUGAAUUUUUUAUUUAACUUCUAUCCAGUUUGCGACAAGGUUUAUGUUGCCUAUUCUGAUGAAAGAAUUGGAUUUGAACUUAAGUAUUUUAUUAAAAUAUAUAAAGUAUCAUUAAGAGAUUAUGAUGUGACCCGGUAUGCUCGAAAAUUGCCGGUAUUAGCGCUGAAAUUAUUAUUUAAAAGUUGGAAUUUCAGAUCUUGAUCCCAUUUUAAUGUCACUCUUUACUUAAUGCGACCUUAAAUUGUGUCUCAAUUUUUUUGUCUCAUAAUCUUGCUGGCAUCUUAGUGUUUUUGCUGGAAACUUUAUGAGUAAUUAAAUUUUAUUGAACUUCUAUACCGUCGACAACAAUGUGUAUGUUGGCUAUUCUGAUAAAGAAAAAGUUGGUUAAAUUUUGAUCUUAAAAUAGUUAUAUUAUUUUAUAUAGCUUCAUUAAGAGAUCGUGAUGUCACCUGGUAUACUCGGAUAUUGCUGCUAGUGUCAUUAAAAUUUGUAUCUCAGCUGAAAUUUCAAAUCCGUGACCUCAUUAUAAUGUGAUAAUUUACUUGAUGAAAUUUUAUUUUUUUUCUCAAUUUUUGGUCCCGUAAUAAUGAGAAGACGUAAUAGUUUUUUAUUAAACUUUUCAAGUGAUUAGUUUUUUAUGAAACUUUUGUUCUGUUUGCAACAAGGUUUUGGUUGCCUGUUCUGAUGGAAAAAUAGUUGGAUUUGGUCUUAAAUCUUUCAUUAAAAUUUAUAAAACUUCAUUAAGAGAUAAUGAUGCGACCUGGUAUGCUCUGAAUUUGUUGGCAUUAUCACUGAACUUUUAUUUUAAAGUUGGAACCUCAAAUUCUUGAUCUCAUUAUAAUGUCAUUAUUUACUUGAUGAGGCAUUAUUUUUUGUCCAUUAAUCAUGCGACAAUUUAAUGGUUUCGGUGGAAACAUUGCAAAAGUUUAAAUUUUAUGGAACUUCUGUACCGUUCGCAAAAGGUUAAAUUUUAUGGACUUCUGUACCGUUGAUGAAAAAUAAGUUGAUUUUGAUCUUAAAAUUAUUAUCUAAUUUUAUAAGGCUUUAUUAAGAGAUCUUGAUAUCUCUUGGUAUACUCGGAUUUUCAUGCUAGUACAUUACAAUUUGUAUCUCAGAGUUGAAAUUUCAAACUCGUGGACUCAUUUCAAGGUAAUUAUUUACUUGAUGUAACCUUUUUUUGUCUUAACAUUGUCCCGUAAUCAUUAUACAUUUUUAUAGUUUUUGGGAAAACAUUUUGAGUUACUGUUUGCAACAAGGUUUAUGUUGCCUAUUCUAAUUAAGAAAGAGUUGGACUUGAUCUUAAAUCUUCUAUCGAAACUUAUAAAGCUUUAUUAAGAAAUUUUAAUGUGACCUGGUAGGCUUUGAAAUUGUUGGCAUUAUCGCUGAAUUUUUUAUUUAACUUCUAUCCAGUUUGCGACAAGGUUUAUGUUGCCUAUUCUGAUGAAAGAAUUGGAUUUGAACUUAAGUAUUUUAUUAAAAUAUAUAAAGUAUCAUUAAGAGAUUAUGAUGUGACCCGGUAUGCUCGAAAAUUGCCGGUAUUAGCGCUGAAAUUAUUAUUUAUAAGUUGGAAUUUCAGAUCUUGAUCCCAUUUUAAUGUCACUCUUUACUUAAUGCGACCUUAAAUCGUGUCUCAAUUUUUUUGUCUCAUAAUCUUGCUGACAUCUUAGUGUUUUUGCUGGAAACUUUAUGAGUAAUUAAAUUUUAUUGAACUUCUAUACCGUCGACAACAAUGUGUAUGUUGGCUAUUCUGAUAAAGAAAAAGUUGGUUAAAUUUUGAUCUUAAAAUAGUUAUAUUAUUUUAUAUAGCUUCAUUAAGAGAUCGUGAUGUCACCUGGUAUACUCGGAUAUUGCUGCUAGUGUCAUUAAAAUUUGUAUCUCAGCUGAAAUUUCAAACCCGUGACCUCAUUAUAAUGUGAUAAUUUACUUGAUGAAAUUUUAUUUUUUUUCUCAAUUUUUGGUCCCGUAAUCAUGAGAAGACGUAAUAGUUUUUUAUGAAACUUUUCAAGUGAUUAGUUUUUUAUGAAACUUUUGUUCUGUUUGCAACAAGGUUUUGGUUGCCUAUUCUAAUGGAAAAAGAGUUGGAUUUGGUCUUAAUUUUUUCAUUAAAAUUUAUAAAACUUCAUUAAGGGAUAAUGAUGCGACCUGGUAUGCUCUGAAUUUGUUGGCAUUAUCACUGAACUUUUAUUUUAAAGUUGGAACCUCAAAUUCUUGAUCUCAUUAUAAUGUUAUUAUUUACUUGAUGAGGCAUUAUUUUUUGUCCAUUAAUCAUGCGACAAUUUAAUGGUUUCGGUGGAAACAUUGCAAAAGGUUAAAUUUUAUGGAACUUCUGUACCGUUCGCAAAAGGUUAAAUUUUAUGGACUUCUGUACCGUUCGCAAAAGGUGUACGCUGCCUAUUCUGAUGAAAAAUAAGUUGGUUUUGAUCUUAAAAUUAUUAUCUAAUUUUAUAAGGCUUUAUUAAGAGAUCUUGAUAUCUCUUGGUAUACUCGGAUUUUCCUGCUGGUACAUUACAAUUUGUAUCUCAGAGUUGAAAUUUCAAACUUGUGGACUCAUUUCAAGGUGAUUAUUUACUUGAUGUAACCUUAUUUUAUCUUAACAUUGUCCCGUAAUCAUUAUACAGUUUAAUAGUUUUUGGGAAAACUUUUUGAGUUACCGUUUGCAACAAGGUUUAUGUUGCCUAUUCUGAUUAAGAAAGAGUUGGACUUGAUCUUAAAUCUUCUAUCAAAACUUAUAAAGCUUUAUUAAGAAAUUUUAAUGUGACCUGGUAGGCUUUGAAAUUGUUGGCAUUAUCGCUGAAAUGUUUAUUUCAAAGUUGGAAUUUCAAAUGCUUGAUGUCAUUUUAAUGUCAUUAUUUACUUGAUGUGGCAUUAUUUUUAGUCCCGUAAUCAUGCGACAUUUUAAAUGUUUUGGUGGAAACUUUACAAAUGAUUAAAGUUCAUGGAACUUCUGUCUCGUUUGCAACAAUGUGUAUGUUGGCUAUUCUUAUGAAGAAAAAGCUGGUUUUGAUCGUCAAAUUGUUAUCUGAUUUUAUAUAGCUUCAUUAAGAGAUCAUGGAUGUCUCCUUGUAUACUUGGAUAUUGUUGCUAGUGUCAUUAAAAUUUGUAUCUUAGCGGAAAUUUCAAACUCGUGGCCUCAUUAUAAUGCGAUUAUUUACUUGAUGAAAUUUUAUUUUUCUCUCAAUUUUUAGCCUCGUAAUCAUGAGACAUUGUAAUAGUUUUGGUUGGAACUUUUCGAGUGAUUAAUUUUCUUAUGAAACUUUUGUCCCGAUUGCAACAAGGUUUCAGUUGCCUAUUUUGAUGGAGAAAGAGUUGGAUUUGGUCUUAAGUCUUUCAUUAAUUAAAAUUUAUAAAACUUCAUUAAGAGUUAAUGAUUUGACCUGGUAUGCUCUGAAUUUGUUGGCAUUAUCAUUACACUUUUAUUUCGAAGUUGGAACCUCAAAUUCUUGAUCUCAUUAUAAUGCCAUUAUUUACUUGACGAGGCAUUAUUUUUUGUCCUGUAAUCAUGCGACAUUUUAAUGGUUUUGGUGGAAACUUUACAAAAGAUUAAAUUGUAUGGAACUUUUGUCCCGUUUGCAAAAGGUGUAUGUUGCCUAUUCUAAUGAAAAAUGAGUUGGUUUUGAUCUUAAAAUUAUUUCUAAUUUAUAAGGCUUUAUUAAGAGAUCUUGAUGUCUCUUGGUAUGCUCGGAUUUUUCUGCUAGUACAUUAAAAUUUAUAUCUCUGAGUUGAAAUUUCAAACUCGUGGACUUAUUUCAAGGUGAUUAUUUACUUGAUGUAACCUUAUUUUAUUUCAAUAUUUUGUCCCGUAAUCAUGAGAUGUUUUAAUAGUUUUUAUAAAAACUUUUGAGUUAUUUGAGUUUAUGAAAUGUGUCUCGUUUGCAACAAGGUUUAUGUUGCCUAUUCUGAUUAAGAAAUAUAUUAAGAAAGAGUUGGAUCUGAUCUUAAAUAUUCUAUCAAAAUUUAUAGAACUCUAUUAAGAAAUUUUUAUGUGACAUGGUAUGCUUGAAAGUUGCUGGCAUUAUCGCUGACAUUUUAAUGUCAUUAUUUACUUGAUGUGGCAUUAUUUGUUGUCCCGUAAUCAUGCGACAUUUUAAAGAUUUUGGUGGAAACUUUACAAAUGAUUAAAUUUCAUGGAACUUCUGUCUUAUUUGCAACAAUGUGUUUGUGGCUAUUCUUAUGAAGAAAAAACUGGUUUUGAUCGUAAAAUUAUUAUCUGAUUUUAUAUAGCUUCAUUAAGAGAUCGUAGAUGUCUCCUUGUAUACUCAGAUAUUGUUACUAGUGACAUUGAAAUUUAUAUCUCAGCUGAAAUUUCAAACUCGUGGCCUCGUUAUAAUGUGAUUAUUUACUUGAUGAAAUUUUAUUUUAUUUUCUCAAUGUUUUGGUUGAAACUUUUCGAGUGAUUAGUGUUUUAUGAAACUUUUAUCUCAUUUGCAACAAGGUUUCAGUUGUCUAUUCUGAUGGAGAAAGAGUUGGAUUUGGUCUUAAAUCUUUCAUUAAAAUUUAUAGAACUUCAUUAAGAGAUAAUGAUGUUACCUGGUACUGAAUUUGUUGGCAUUAUCACUGAACUUUUAUUUCAAAAUUGGAACCUUAAAUUCCUGAUCUCAUUAUAAUGUCAUUAUUUACUUGAUGAGGCAUUAUUUUUUGUCCCGUAAUCAUGCGACAUUUUAAUGGUUUGGUGGAAACUUUGCAAAAUAUUAAAUUUUAUGGAACUUCUGUCCCGCUUGCAAAAGGUGUAUGCUGCCUAGUCUGAUGAAAAAUAAGUUGGGGUUGAUCUUAAAAUUAUUAUCUAUUUUUAUAAGGCUUUAUUAAGAGAUCUUGAUGUCUCUUGGUAUACUCCGAUUUUCCUGCUAAUAUAUUAAAAUUUGUAUCUCAAAGUUGAAAUUUCAAACUCGUGGACUCAUUUUAAGGUGAUUAUUUACUUGAUGGAACCUUAUUUUAUUUCAAUAUUUUGUAUCGUAAUCAUGAGGCGUUUUAUAUAUUUUGGGAAAACUUUUGAGUAAUUGGAGUUUAUGAAAUGUCUGUCCCGUUUGCAACAAGGAUUAUGUUGCCUACUCUGAUUAAGAAAGAGUUAGACCUGAUCUUAAAUCAUCUAUUAAAUUUAUAAAGCUUUAUUAAAAAAAAUUUAAUGUGACCUGGUAUGCUCGGAAAUGGUUUGCAUUAUCGCUGAAAUUUUAAUUUCAAAGUUUGAAUUUCAAAUGCUUGAUCUCAUUUUAAUGUCAUUAUUUACUUGAUGUGACAUUAUUUUUUGUACUGUAAUCAUGCGACAUUUUAAUAAAAUUUCAUGGAACUUCUAUCUCGUUUGCAACAAUGUGGGUGUUGGCUAUUCUUACGAAGAAGAAGUUGGUUUUGAUCAUAAAAUUGUUGUCUGAUUUUAUAUAGCUUCAUUAAGAGAUCAUGGAUGUCUCCUUGUACACUCGGAUAUUGCUGCUAGUGUCAUUAUAAUUUGUAUCUCCUCUGAAUUUUCAAACUCCCGACCUCAUUGUAAUGCGAUUAUUUACUUGAUGAAAUUUUAUUUUUUUCUUAACUUUUUGUCCCCUAAUUAUGGACGUAAUAGUUUUGGUGGAAACUUUUCGAGUGAUUAGUUUUUUAUGAAACUUUUGUCCUGUUUGCAAUAAGACUUCGGUUGCCUAUUCUGAUGGAGAAAGAGUUGGAUUUGGUCUUAAAUCUUUCAUUAAAAUUUAUAGAAAUUUAUUAAGAGAUAAUGAUGUGACCCGGACAUUAUCACUGAACUUUUAUUUCAAAGUUGGAACCUCAAAUUCUUGAUAUCAUAAUAAUGUCAUUAUUUACUUGAGGCAUUAUUUUUUGUCCUGUAAUCAUGCGACAUUUUAAAGGUUUUGGUGGAAACUUUGCAAAAGAUUAAACUUUAUGGAACUUCUGUCCUGUUCGCAAAAGGGGCAUGCUGCCUAUUCCGAUGAAAAUAAGUUGGUUUUGAUCUUUAAAUUAUUAUCUAAUUUUAUAAGGCUUUAUUAAGAGAUCUUGAUGUCUCUUGGUGUACUUGGAUUUUCCUGCUAGAACAUCAAAAUUUAUAUCUCAUAGUAGAAAUUUCAAACUCGUGGACUCAUUUCAAUGUGAUUAUUUAUUUGAUGUAACAUUAUUUUUUCUCAAUAUUUUGUCCCGUAAUCAUGAGAUGUUUGAAUAGGUUUUGUGAAAACUUUUCGAGUUAUUGGAGUUUAUGAAACAUAUGACCUGGUUAGAAAGAGUUGGACUUGAUCUUAAAUCUUUUUUAUCAAAAUUUAUAUAGCUUCAUUAAGAGAUUAUAAUAUGACCUGGUAUGCUCGGAAAUUGUUAUGGCUGAAAUUUUUAUUUCAAAGUUGGAAUUUCAAAUGCUUGAUCUCAUUUUAUUGUCACUGUUUACUUGAUGCAACCUUAAAUUUUGUCCCGUAAUCUUGCGAUAUCUUACUGAUUUUGGUGGAAACUUUAUGAAUAAUUAAAUUUUAUGAAACUUCUAAACCGUUCGCAACAAUGUGUAUGUUGGCUAUUCUGGUGAAGAAAAACUUGGUUUUAAUCUUAAAAUUGUUACCUGAUUUUUUCUAGCUUCAUUAAGAGAUCGGCGAUGCGCCCCGGUCUCCUGAUUUUUUGUAGCUUCAUUUUUUCUACAUUAAGAGAUUGGGAUGUGUCAUGAUAUGCUCAGAUUUUGCUGGCAUGGUCAUUGAAAUUUGUAUUUCAAAGUUGGAACUUCAAACUCAUGGCCUCUUUUUAAUGCGAUUAUCUACUUGAUACGGCUUUAUUCUUUUUGUCUCAAUUUAUUGUCCCAUGAUCAUGAGAUAUACUCACGGCCUCCUUUUAAUGCGACUAUUUACUUGCUGCGACUUUAUAUUUGUCUCAAUUUUUUGAUCAUGAGACAUUUCCAUGAUAUCCACGAAAACUUUAUGAGUGGUCAUAUUUUAUGAAACUUCUAUCCCGUUUGCAAUAAGUUGGAACAUUUAAUAUUAAUUACCCCUUCUAAUUAAGGGAAAAGCUAAAAGAGGAAGAACCAAGUAUUCUUCGCUUAUGCUAUUUAUGCUAUCAAUUCUAAUGAAGCGUAAAGUUGGAUAUGAUCUUAAUUUUUUUUUAUUAAAAUUUACAAAGAUUUAUUAAGAGAUUGUGAUCCGUCGUGGUAUGCUCGGAUAUUAUUGGCAUUAUCUCUGAAAUUUGUAUUUUAAAGUUGGAACUUUAAAUUUGUUAUUUGAUUUUAAUGCUGUUAUUUACUUCAUAUGACCUUAUUUUGUCUUAAUUUUUAUCCCGUAAUCGUAAGAUAUUAUAAUGUUUUUGGUGGAAAUUUUACGAGUGGUCAAAUCUUAUUAAACUUCUACCCUGUUUGCGACAAGGUUUAUGUUACCUAUUUUGAUGAAGAAAAAGGUUGGAUUUGAUCUUAAUUUUAAUGGUUUUGGUGGAAAGUUAAUGGUAUGCUAUGAUAUUACUGGUAGUGUCUCUAAAAUCUGUAUCUCGGAGUUGAAACUUUAAACCAGUGGCCUUGUUUUAAUGCGACCUCUUUUGUCUCAUUUUUUUGUCCUGCAAUCAUGAAACAUUUCAAUAGUAUAUGUGAAAACUCUCUUGAGCGAUCAAAUGUUACAUUAUCUAUGGUAACUUUUGUUUUUUUGUUUUUAAUUAUGUUGCCUAUUCUAAGGAACGAGAAAGUUGGAUUUGAUUUUAAAAUUGUUAUUUUUAUUGCUUGUAUUUUGUUGGCAGUAUCGCUGAAAUUUGCAUUUCAAAGUUGUAAUUCGUGGUCUCAUUUUAAUGUCAUUAAUUAUUUACUCGUUUCUACUCAAUUUGUGUCUCAAUUUUUUAUUUCGUUAUCACGAGACAUUUUAAUUAUUUUGGUGGAAACAUUAUGAGUGAUCGAAUUUUAAGAAAUAUGUGCCCCUUUUGCAAGAAUUAAUGUUUGAUGAUGAAAAAAGUAGGCUUUCGUCGUAAAAUUUAUCUAAUUUUAUAAAGCUUCAUUAAGAGAUUGUGAUGUAUCCUAGUAUGCUCGGAUUAUGCUGGCAGUGUUACUAAAAUCUGUAUUUUAGUGUUGGAAUUUCAAACUCUCGACCUUCUUUCAAUGCGAUGAUUUAAUUUGUUUUAACUUUUUGUCACAUAAGCAUGACACAUUUUAAUGGUUUCGGUGGAAACUUCAUAAGCGAUGAGAUGUUAUGAAACUUUUAUCCCGUUUGCUAAAAGUUUAUGUUGCCUAUUCUGAUGACCAAAAGUAGGCUUUGAUCUGUAAAACUAUUAUCUUAUUUUAUACAGCUUCAUGAACUCCUAUUUAAGGUUAUAUCCUGGCUUAUGGUAGUUCUCGUGUCCCAUUAAAUCGCAAGUUUUCUUUAGCCUUUGGGCUUCAGCAUACACCUUCAAUUCCAAAUGAAGAGUGGGAAGAAAUAGAGGUUUUGCUGCCCUUAUUUAAGGCUUUUGAGAUGUUUCACUUUGUUGGUUUUAUUUCACCUUGAAUCAAGGAUGAGAAGAAGUAUAACUGAGAGCUGUGGUUUGAAAAAUAAAUAAACUUCUUCUAGUUUUCUUUUUUAAUAAUUUCAUUGUGAAAAUAUCAUUUUGGUAUCUAUGUUUCCUGGAUUGCUUUAUGUUCGGGUUUUAAAUACUGUCACAAGAAGUAAUAAUGCUAGUUACUAAUUGGUAAACUGGACGAUAAAUGGAUAGAACUGAAACUUUGAUUCCAACGACCCUGCAGAAGCAGCUUAGACUCAAAACAAAGUUUAAUGGCUAAGAAAGAUCAACAGUUCAGACUAAUCCCAAUUGAAAUAGAGUUUAAUGGCUCUCACUCUAUGACAUAAACUUUGUUGUACCUGCUUUCAUUUGCAGCUACAUUUUGACACUGUCAAUAGGGGCAUGUCUCAAGUUGAGAACCCAACCCAAUCAGAUGAUCGCUCACGUAAAUUUUCUAUUUUCUUCAAUAAUGACACAGGGCAAGGAUCACAUUUUCAUGAAUCAAAUCGGUUCGUAUCUGCAUUA